AGACAGGCGCGCCGGGGGACGGCCAAGCAGGAGCGAUCGGUCAUUCAGUCUACCGGCUUGGGCGUGCGACCCCCUUCUGCACCCGCACCUGCUCUUCCUGGGCCCUGCCGGCGUCCCAGGUGAAAGUCCCCACAAGCUGAUGGGUCUUUCAGAUCCGUCUCCCAGCCUCUCCCUCUUUUUCACCUGGUUACUUCUGCUCCUCGCACCCCCAUCACGGAGGGAUCUCUGACCCGCCCCGUGCGCAGCGCUCUCGGCUCCCCGGACCUCUGCUUUCCUUGUCACCCUCGGCUUCCUCGCGGCGUCUGCGCUGCUCUGGGCACCGGACUUGUCCCCCAGCGCGCCUUCUCCCACCCAGCGCAUCCAGGGCACUCUCCGACGAUCGAGGAGGAGGCGAGGCCACUGUCCUCCUCAGUCCUGGCGGCUUUCGUCCUCCAGCGGACACCCGCGCAGCCCGCCGACGUCCGGGUUGCACUUCGUGCUCUGCUUGAAGGGUGAACUGAGCCCCAGCCGCCGCUGACCGAAGCAGCUGCAGCCGUUCUGCAGGGGAAGCGCGGGUCCAGAGGAGGGGACCUAACCAAGGCUACCUUGAGAGGGGCGCUCAUUCAUUUAGCCCAACGCCUGCCCAAAGUCCUGAGCUCUUCUGUUCUAAGCCUUGUUUUGUGUGCUGAAGAUACAAAGGCUCAACCAGUACCUUUUACAGUGCCUGAUCCAAUGUGUGCACUCAGAACUUCAUCUCUGGAGCAUGUGAAUGAAUAAGUGGUCAGUGAAAAAGUCAAUCAGUAGUCAAUCUAGGAAAGAAAUGGAAAUUUUUAUUCAAGUCAACCUGAGGAUUAUCACCCAGGAAACAGUCUUUCAGAAAACGCUGAGGACUGUUUUGCCUUUUAGAGGUCAAGGCAUACGAGUUUUGAGACAAAGGAUUAUACAUCAAAGUAACCUGUUGAUGGUUUACAUAGUCCAACAAGGCAAGUAGUGGGUUACUUUUUCAUAGGAUUGGAAAAGGAAUGUUAAUCUCCUGAGGCGUCACCUUGCUGGCACUAGGAGAAAAUUCCCCCUCUCUCUUUCUUUCCCUUCUCUCUGGCCAGUAGGCGCUCUGCGUCUUCUAAGGAGAUCUAGUUAAUGUAUAAUGCAGAUACACGGUGCACACUAAAGGGGAGGAUGUAGUGGCUCAAAUCGACAGAGAGAGAAUUUUAUGUUUAGAAUUUGUCUUGUCCUGCAUUAAAAAUAAAUUUAUUGCAUCAAAGUAAACCAUUCCCCUACAAUAAUGCAACUGCUUUUGUUAUCCAGCUGAACAACCCAACCAUUCACCCACCCAACGCUCAGCAAAGUCAAUCUACUGACACUGGGUUGUGGUGAAGGAUGGCGUUUAUUGCAGGCACCAAGCAAGGAGAACAGGCAGCUCAUGCUCAAAAGACCCAAACUCUCCAGGGAAGAGUUUUAAAGGCAAUAUUUGGAGUGUAGGUUGCAGGAGCCAAGACUUUGUUCUGAUUGGUUUGUGGGUGAGGUAAACAGGUGGUGUUUAGAGACUCUUAAUCAUCAACCUUCAGGUUCCGAGCAGUCUGGGGUCUGUGUGCUUGUGGUCAGCAUGUCUCACCAUCCUCCACUAGUGUGGGGGUCUUAGUUCUUGCAGAACAACUCAAAGAUAAGUGUCAUAUUGUAAGGAUAUCGCUUGAGGAGGAACUAGUACUUGGUUGUAUUACUACUGUUUCUUGACUGCUUUUCCUUUGUUUCUUUAUUCCCUCACUUCCCUAAUUAGUAACGAUUUGAGUUUGCUCUUUGGAAUUCAGGAAAGGCCUUAGAGACCAAAGUCUUUAUUUCUACAAACCAGAAGCGGUCACGGUCACCGAGGGGCCUUUUCACCUGGGAGGGUCCUGCUCUGUUUCAGGCCCUCUUUUCUUUGCUCCUUCUCAAUCUUGAGAGGAACAGGGGUGGGACAAGAAAGAGAAUAAAGUUUUGGACAGAAAGGUUAGUCAUAAACUUGGCAGGGGAGCUCGGUUUUUAGGGGGAUUCGAUUUCACUCUAAGGGGGAUGUACACAGUGAGAGCAUGGGCUCUGGAGCUCGAUGCAUAUUCUGGUCCUACCUGAUUCUGGCUGUUGCUUUGAAGAUUGUUUGAGUUGGAAUUCCCAUUGUGGCUCAGUGGAAACAAAUUCAAUUAGUAUCCCUGAGGACAAGGAUUUGAUCCCUGGCCCCACUCAGUGGGUUGAGGAUCCAGCGUUGGUGUGGCUGUGGUGUCGGCCGACAGCUACAGCUCCUAUUUGACCCCUAGCCUGGGAACUUCCAUAUACCACAGGUAUGGCCCAAAGAAGACAAAAAAAAAAAAAAAAAAAAAGAGAGAGAGAGAGAGAGAGAUUGUUUGAGUUAAUACUCAGAGAAUGCUUAACUCCUCUGAUAUAUAGUAAGCAAUCAGUAAAUAUUUACUCUUGCAAUUAUAU
rnacentral:lncRNA from 1 species